UACGAAGGGGGCUAGCGUUGCUCGGAAUCACUGGGCGUAAAGCGCACGUAGGCGGCUAUUCAAGUCGGGGGUGAAAGCCCGGGGCUCAACCCCGGAAUUGCCCUCGAAACUAGAUAGCUAGAAUCUUGGAGAGGCGAGUGGAAUUCCGAGUGUAGAGGUGAAAUUCGUAGAUAUUCGGAAGAACACCAGUGGCGAAGGCGACUCGCUGGACAAGUAUUGACGCUGAGGUGCGAAAGCGUGGGGAGCAAACAGG
rnacentral:rRNA from 1 species